rnacentral:pre_miRNA from 1 species
GGUCAGAAAUGGUUGCAAAUUAGUAGUUUGAAGACUAAUUUGUGACCUUUCAAUGAUCAG